CACGCUGAGCCUCUGCCUUGGAGAUUCUCAGUGCUGCAGAUGAUGUCCCUAAGGGGCAGCCUCUCGCGCCUACUCCAGACGCGAGUGCAUUCCAUCCUGAAGAAAUCCGUCCACUCCGUGGCUGUGAUAGGAGCCCCGUUCUCACAAGGGCAGAAAAGAAAAGGAGUGGAGCAUGGUCCCGCUGCCAUAAGAGAAGCUGGCUUGAUGAAAAGGCUCUCCAGUUUGGGCUGCCACCUAAAAGACUUUGGAGAUUUGAGUUUUACUCCAGUCCCCAAAGAUGAUCUCUACAACAACCUGAUAGUGAAUCCACGCUCAGUGGGUCUUGCCAACCAGGAACUGGCUGAGGUGGUUAGCAGAGCUGUGUCGGAUGGCUACAGCUGUGUCACACUGGGAGGAGACCACAGCCUGGCAAUCGGUACCAUUAGUGGCCAUGCCCGACACUGCCCAGACCUUUGCGUUGUCUGGGUUGAUGCCCAUGCUGACAUCAACACACCCCUUACCACUUCAUCAGGAAAUCUCCAUGGACAGCCAGUUUCAUUUCUCCUCAGAGAACUACAGGAUAAGGUACCACAACUCCCAGGAUUUUCCUGGAUCAAACCUUGUAUCUCUUCUGCAAGUAUUGUGUAUAUUGGUCUGAGAGACGUGGACCCUCCUGAACAGUAAGUUGAUGCAUUUGGCUGAAGUUUAGGGCCUGUCCUAGCCAAUUAUGUUCUAUUUGAAAGGCUGAUGCUUAACUUGGUCUAUUGUAGGUCACUACAACAAACCCACCCUCUCCCCCAAAUACACAUUUGUUAAAAAUGCUCUUUUAACUAAGGACUCCUUCCUUUAUAUCUCAU
rnacentral:sRNA from 1 species